CUCACCAGAUGCUAGGGGUACAAAAGAAAAAUAAGCCAGGGUCCCGCGGCCCCGUCGGAGCUCUCAGACCAGGGAAACCCCCAGGGCGUGUGGGACUCUUUGAGGAGACAGAGCUCACUCCGGGGGAGGUGAGGGCAGACGAGGAGGGGAACUCACGGGAAGGUAGGAAAGGGGUCUCGUUUGUGGAUUCCUCUACAGGAUUUGGGGGUACCUCUGAGAGUGGGGGACGGAGAGAAUGCAGGUGGAGAUUCUGGCCUGAGGAGAGGCUGGGUGGGACGUGGUGGUCAGAAGCC
rnacentral:lncRNA from 10 species